UACGUAGGGUGCAAGCGUUAAUCGGAAUUACUGGGCGUAAAGCGCGCGCAGGCGGUUAUGUAAGACAGUUGUGAAAUCCCCGGGCUCAACCUGGGAACUGCAUCUGUGACUGCAUAGCUAGAGUACGGUAGAGGGGGAUGGAAUUCCGCGUGUAGCAGUGAAAUGCGUAGAUAUGCGGAGGAACACCGAUGGCGAAGGCAAUCCCCUGGACCUGUACUGACGCUCAUG
rnacentral:rRNA from 1 species